rnacentral:rRNA from 1 species
GUCGAGAAUUUUUCACAAUGGGCGCAAGCCUGAUGGAGCGACGCCGCGUGGGGGAUGAAGGGCUUCGGUCCGUAAACCCCUGUCAUUUGCGAACAAACCUUGUCCGUGAACAACGGACGAGCUGAUGGUAGCGAAAGAGGAAGGGACGGCUAACUCUGUGCCAGCAGCCGCGGUAAUACAGAGGUCCCGAGCGUUGUUCGGAUUCACUGGGCGUAAAGGGUGCGUAGGUGGUGAGGUAAGUCGGAUGUGAAAGCUCGGAGCUCAACUCCGAAAUGGCAUUGGAAACUACCUUGCUUGAGGAUUGGAGGGGGGACUGGAAUUCUCGGUGUAGCAGUGAAAUGCGUAGAGAUCGAGAGGAACACCAGUGGCGAAGGCGAGUCCCUGGACAAUACCUGACGCUGAGGCACGAAAGCUAGGGGAGCAAACAGGAUUAGAAACCCCAGUAGUCC